CAAAAUGCGUUUGUUUGUUCGCACCAGUGUUGGCACCCCUGUUGACGUUUAAGGUUAUGCAAUUUUAAAUUUUUUGUUUGCGAAUUAACAAUAAUAAAAUUGAGAUAAAAGACCUUAUCUCGUAUCAGAAUUGAUUAUCAUGAUGAUAGUAACGUGUAAACAUGGUCAGGUGGAUGAGAAGUCGCUAAAAAAUGGUCCAGAAACACAGUUGAGGAGCCCCCCUAACAAAUGAAUCGCGCUAAAGAAGUUAUUUACGUAAGAAGACCACUGAGCCGAGCAGCUAAGCGAAGACUUAAAUAUGUAGGAAUUUUUUUACUUGUGUUUGCGCUCUUGCUCGUUUUGUUUGUAUUUAUCGGAUUUCCGCUGAUUUUUAUGAAUUCCAUUGCCCUGCAGAGGCUUCUCAUGUUCACCAAUUGGAAUUUACCGAGCAAAAGCAGUCAUUUUGAAAAAUUCGAAUUAUUGGCCGGUUUGCGGAACUUUUACGUCUCCGUGAACGACUUGAACAGUAAAAAAAUAAUCUCGCUGGGAGUCUGGCAUUUAUUACCUUACAUAUACGAACCGGACGUAAUAACAGACUCCGAAUUUGAUUUCGAGUCGGUUUUAAAAUCCGGCAAUUCAAGUGUUUUAUUUUAUUUCCAUGGAACGGGGGAAGACCGGUCGUCGGCCUUUGAAAAGUACAAACAAUUCCGUGGGUUCUUCCACGUGAUCACGUUUGAUUACAGAAGCUAUGCUGACUCGACUAAGGCCGAGUUGUCUGAAGAUGCGGUCGUGAACGACUGUGUCCAGUUGUACGAGAGGCUUUUGACCAGGACCAACGCCUCGAUCAUUUUUUGGGGACACUCUUUAGGCUCAGCCCUUGCGACCAGAACUCUGGCCAUUAUACAAGCGAAACAUGUCAGACAACCAAUUGGUUUGGUCCUGGAAGCCGCCUUUACCAAAAUGAGCGAGGAGCUAUUUUCGCCUGGUUGCCGUAUUUUGAAGCAACAGUGAUUGAACCAUUGCAAAAAAAUGGUUUUAUUUUUGACACGAGUAAACAUAUUUUAAGCGUUAACGUACCGAUUAUGAUUCUUUGUGCUGAAGACGAUAGUGUUGUUCCUUACACGUUUGGAAAAAAGUUGUACGAAAUUGCGAAAAAUGAGAGGACAAGUAUGAACAUCACACUGUAUUACCAGUUUGCUUCUAGUCUAGGUUAUAACCACAAUUUCAUUUACAAAAGUUUUUUCUUCCCGUAUUUUAUCAA